AGCGAACGCUGGCGGCAGGCUUAACACAUGCAAGUCGAGCGGGCGUAGCAAUACGUCAGCGGCAGACGGGUGAGUAACGCGUGGGAACAUACCUUUUGGUUCGGAACAACACAGGGAAACUUGUGCUAAUACCGGAUAAGCCCUUACGGGGAAAGAUUUAUCGCCGAAAGAUUGGCCCGCGUCUGAUUAGCUAGUUGGUGAGGUAACGGCUCACCAAGGCGACGAUCAGUAGCUGGCUGAGAGGAUGAUCAGCCACAUUGGGACUGAGACACGGCCCAAACUCCUACGGGAGGCAGCAGUGGGGAAUAUUGGACAAUGGGCGAAAGCCUGAUCCAGCCAUGCCGCGUGAGUGAUGAAGCCCUAGGGUUGUAAAGCUCUUUUGUGCGGAAGAUAAUGACGGUACCGCAAGAAUAAGCCCCCGCUAACUUCGUGACAGCAGCCGCCGU
rnacentral:rRNA from 1 species